AUUUUUUAUGGCCUGCUCAGCAUGAUUCAGUAAGAGACAUUUAGCAAAUAAGAUUGGUAGACUGUUAAGGAUCUUAAACAGUGUCUUAGCUAUUGUGUCACACCAAUGCUUUUUAAACAGGAAAAACAGUAUUCUCCAGCCCUUUUUAUUCAAAAUAUUAGCAGUCUGAAGUUAUGUUAAACAGUUAAUGGUUCUGCUUGUUUGUCUCAGUGAACCCCAGACCUUACACAUGAUAGGCAGGUGCCUUACCCCAGCCAGCUAGAACAUCUAGGAAAAGGGUUGCUACACCACAGAAGUCAAUCCAGGCAACCCAAACCUAGCACCCUCCAUUGGCCUGGCCAGCAGCUGAGCAGUGCAGGUAAGGAGCUUUUAAGGAUGAACACCCUGUUCUUAUCAUCUUCCAUCUAGUGCAAUCUCAGAAGCACGGAGUGCUGUCCCACACUGGGUGAUCCCCAAGCCUGUUCAGACUUGCUUUCUUCUGGGGCAAUGAUCAAGGGCUGGAAGCUAGGAGAUCAAAGCCUGGUUUCUUCUCUUAGUCCCACCUCAGCUCUGCCUAUGAAGCCAUCCCUCCAUCUGACCUCCAAAGAGCAGCCUUUGUUCAUUCCAUGCAGAUGUCCUGAAUGCACACCCUGUGCAAAGGGGCGUAAACUGAGCACUUGUGGUUUCAUCCAGUUCUGGAAGAAGUGGCUGUGCAAUGGAAGGAGCCACUGUGAAUCACCAGAGUGGGGGGAAAAAAUGCAGAUUGAAAUAAACAGAGAGGCAACUGGAAAUGACGAGCAUGAGCAGGCGAUGACUAAGGGACAGAUCAGUGCGUCAGACAAGGAGCUCUUAUGGAGGUGGCUUGGAGGUGGGCAGGAGACCGGAAGAAAGAGCUAUCAUUACACUUUCAUGAUUGUGUGCCCACGUCCACCCAUGCAAAAAAAGGAGGCACUGGCCAGGAGCAAUGAUGCCAAGUACGCUAGUGUCUGUGAAGACGAAACACCUUCAGCACUAGGAAUUACUCUGCACCUUCUUCCGCCAGUCAGCCUUUCACCAGUCCUGCACUGAGGACUGGGGACAGCUCUCAACUUCCUGUUCUCAGCCUUCCCUUCCCUGUGCCUCCCAAUCCAUGUUUACCAUCAGAGCAGAAAGAAUUUGGAGAAAGGAAUGCCUUGGUCUAAGGAGACGAUACUGAGCUGGAUGGCACUUUCUCAAGUAAGGCCAGUCACUAUCUAGUAGACCCCUUCCUUCCAGGGUGGUUGUAACACAAAUGACACCUGUCUCUGGGUCCAUCCAGAACCGUGCCAUCUUCUCAAGUGGGCCACAUAGGAAUACAGACAAUAAAAUACCAUCACCAACUUGGUCCUCUGCA
rnacentral:lncRNA from 1 species